CCUGCGAUGGCCUUCCUCAUUUCACAGUGCGGAGACGGAUGUCCCCUCCUCGGCUUUUGUUGUGGCUGAAGCCAGUUUCCCAUCCUGAGUUUGCCGCUGAGCUGGAAAAGGGGCCUGUUCUAACCUGGUUUGGUUUUCCUAAACGUAACUUUCUCCCACGUUUUGUUUCCCAGAAGACAGGAGCCCCUUGUUCAUCGUCCUGGGACACCAGAGCCAACACCUGCUUCGAACCUACUAUGUGCCAGGACCUGGCCCUCUGGCUCAUGUUCCUUAGCUCCGAUUCUUAGCUGUGUGACUUCGGGCCAGCGACUGCACGCCUGGGCCCAUUUCCUCGCCUGGAAUUAGAGAGAAUAGCAAUACCUCUGUGCGGAGUUACUGUGAUGAUUAAACAAAGUAAUGCACGUCAAGUACUGGGAACACCGCCCAACACAGAUUCUCCCUACGUGGCAGCUAUUAUGAUCUUCACACCAUGCUGCCAUUUUACAGCUGGGAGUGCAAGCUGGUGGCACAGAAGCCAAUAAGACCAGAGUGGAGAGAAAAAACAAGCUCUGGAGACAGCAGAUUGGGUUCCAGCCCAGCUGUGUGACCUUGAGUCAGCCACCUCUCUCAACCUCGGUUCCAAAAACAAGGAUGGUGCCUUCUUCCCCUAGUGCCCACGUCUGUCUGUGAGGACUAUGGGACAGGAGUGAUGUGUGAAAGGCCGCAGGGAGAGGGCCUGUCCCAAGGGCCACAUGCACCACAGUGCCCGCGAGUACAGGAUCACAGUCCCAGCCUGUGCAGCGGUUCACACGCUAGAGAGCCCUCCUUCACACCCAUCAUGCGUUGGAGCCUCACUCCAGCCCUUCAGGAUGGACAGGGCUGCGUCUGAUCCACAUUUGACCACCGGACGCAAGAGCUCAGGUCGGGUGGACUCACAGAGCUCUCUGCUCGGAGGCCACUCAGCCGGAGAUUCCGGGGAGCUGGGAAGCCAGAUGGCUCAGUUGCUGUCUCUUUUCAGAUCAGCCACUCGGGUCUGUAUUCAUUCAACAUGUAUUCCCCGAGCUGCGCCCGGGAUGCGGCAGUAACUGGGCAGACACAACGCUGCUCUCGAGGAACUUGGAGCCUGGCGGCCUCAGGCUUCUUCCCACUCCACUGAUCGCAGGAAGACCCGUGUCUGCUUGUGGUGACAGAUCAGGAAGUGUCCCGCGUGCAGGUCCCGGCUCCGUGCCCACCUGGGGCAGCGAGCAGCUUCUCCAGCGAUGUUAAAGGGGAAUGCUCCACAGUUGGCUCCCAGGCUAAUUGGAUCUGGGCUCCUCUCUCUUUCCUGGGCAAGGUAGGUGGGGUGUGGGGCGGGAAGGAUGGGCUGAGGCAGCCCUGAUGGGGGAGGAGAUGCCGGGGACCUGGGAUGCUGGGCUGGGCUCCGUGUUGGUGGCUGUGGUCUUGGAGCCCAGACCCCUGGUCACAGUGACUGCCAUGUGCCUCGAGCAAGCCUCGGCCCCUCUCUGGAUGCCCACAUUCCCUCAUCUGCCAUGAUGAUGACGACAACAGCAACAACACAUCCAUUGCUCACCCAGCAUUUCCCAGGCACCAGACACUCUUCUCAGUGUGACACAUGUCAGCUCUCCUCUGGUCCCCGCAGCAGCCCAGCGCCGUAAGGGUUAUGUUCCACUGUACCAAUGAGUGAACUGAGGCACAGCGCAUCAGUAACCUGCCCACAGUCUCUAGACAGUGCCCACCAUGAAUCUUUCAAAGUGCCCCGAGUCCCAAUUUUUAAAUCCUAGUUACACCCUUAUAGACCCGGGUGGGGUGUGGAGAGCUCUCUGUGCCCAUUUUUCAAACAGGGACACCGAGGCCCAGUCCACAGCUACUUGAAGUUUUAGUAGGAUGUUCCUCCCAUGAAGGCUCCCUGCCAUUCCCUCCCACCUCAGGGCCCAGGGUAGCAGGCUGGGUUUUCAGAUGGUGCACUUGGUGCCGGGAUCUGAGGUGGGACAGGGAUCCACACUCCCAGCAGCUGCCUCUCCUCCAUCAGCCGGGCCGCUCCCCUUGCCUCAGGCCUCACCCCAGCAUCCUCUAGGCCUGCUGGGGCUCCUUGCCCCACAUAUGCUGAGCUGGAGGGGGGGCUCACUUCCUGGGCACAAACCUUCCCCAGAGGACCCCCAGAUGCAAAGUUCUUGCCUCUGCAGAUCCAGAGUGGAAAG